UUUAUAAAACCAAUCCGUAAUUAUCUGAGAUGAGAAGUGUAUAA
rnacentral:guide_RNA from 1 species